rnacentral:rRNA from 1 species
GAUGAACGCUGGCGGCGUGCUUAACACAUGCAAGUCGAACGGAAAGGCCCAAGCUUGCUUGGGUACUCGAGUGGCGAACGGGUGAGUAACACGUGGGUGAUCUGCCCUGCACUUCGGGAUAAGCCUGGGAAACUGGGUCUAAUACCGGAUAGGACCACAUUUUGGAUGGUGUGGUGGAAAGUUUUUCGGUGUGGGAUGAGCUCGCGGCCUAUCAGCUUGUUGGUGGGGUAAUGGCCUACCAAGGCGUCGACGGGUAGCCGGCCUGAGAGGGUGUACGGCCACAUUGGGACUGAGAUACGGCCCAGAGUCCUACGGGAGGCAGCAGUGGGGAAUAUUGCACAAUGGGCGCAAGCCUGAUGCAGCGACGCCGCGUGGGGGAUGACGGCCUUCGGGUUGUAAACUCCUUUCGCUAGGGACGAAGCGUUUUUGUGACGGUACCUGGAGAAGAAGCACCGGCUAACUACGUG